UCUGAGAUGUGUUGCAUAACCAAGAAAUACCCUCUAGCUGGAGAGAUGCCAUGACUGUUUAUGACUCAAGAUAUGAAGAAGGUUGUCUGAGCUCUUUAUAUGUGUAGGAGGAGGUUGUUUGGUCUGAUCCGACCAAAGGGAGGCGACUCCCAUACUGUAAUUGUUCCAUCAGAAGAAGUCAUGUAGAGGCGAGAAGAAUCGUUGGUGAAGGUCAAACUGAAAUAGAUUGAAAUAGGAAAUUAUAACAUGGACUUAAUUAAAAACUUUAUUUACUAGUAUUGUAACAUCAUUCCUCA